rnacentral:rRNA from 1 species
UACGUAGGGUGCGAGCGUUGUCCGGAAUUAUUGGGCGUAAAGAGCUUGUAGGCGGUCUGUCGCGUCUGCUGUGAAAAUCCGGGGCUCAACCCCGGACCUGCAGUGGGUACGGGCAGACUAGAGUGUGGUAGGGGAGACUGGAAUUCCUGGUGUAGCGGUGAAAUGCGCAGAUAUCAGGAGGAACACCGAUGGCGCAGGCAGGUCUCUGGGCCAUAACUGACGCUGAGAAGCGAAAGCAUGGGGAGCGAACAGG